rnacentral:rRNA from 1 species
CCUACGGGAGGCAGCAGUGAGGAAUAUUGGUCAAUGGACGAGAGUCUGAACCAGCCAAGUCGCGUGAAGGAUGACGGCCCUACGGGUUGUAAACUUCUUUUGUCAGGGCGCAAUUGAGUCCACGUGUGGUCUUAGCGAGAGUACCUGAAGAAAAAGCAUCGGCUAACUCCGUGCCAGCAGCCGCGGUAAUACGGAGGAUCCGAGCGUUAUCCGGAUUUAUUGGGGUUAAAGGGCGCGUAGAUGGGUUGUUAAGUCAGUGGUGAAAGUUUGCGGCUCAACCGUAAAAUUGCAAUUGAUACUGGCAGCCUUGAGUACAGUUGAGGUAGGCGGAAUUCGUGGUGUAGCGGUGAAAUGCUUAGAUAUCACGAAGAACUCCGAUUGCGAAGGCAGCCUACUAAACUGCCACUGACAUUGAUGCUCGAAAGUGUGGGUAUCGAACAGGAUUAGAUACCCCAGUAGUC